UACAUAGGGUGCGAGCGUUGUCCGGAAUCACUGGGCGUAAAGGGCGCGUAGGUGGCGCGACAAGUCAGUGGUGAAAGUUCGACGCUCAACGUCGAAUCGGCCACUGAUACUGUUGGGCUUGAGCACUGUAGAGGCUAAUGGAAUUCCGGGUGUAGCGGUGGAAUGCGUAGAGAUCCGGAAGAACACCGGUGGCGAAGGCGGUUAGCUGGGCAGUUGCUGACACUGAGGCGCGACAGCGUGGGGAGCAAACAGG
rnacentral:rRNA from 1 species